UACGUAGGGGGGCAAGCGUUGUCCGGAUUUAUUGGGCGUAAAGAGCGUGUAGGCGGCCAGACAGGUCCGUUGUGAAAACUAGAGGCUUAACCUCUAGACGUCGAUGGAAACCGUUUGGCUAGAGUCCGGAAGAGGAGAAUGGAAUUCCUGGUGUAGCGGUGAAAUGCGCAGAUAUCAGGAAGAACACCCGUGGCUAAGGCGGUUCUCUAGUACGGUACUGACGCUGAGACGCGAAAGCGUGGGGAGCGAACAGG
rnacentral:rRNA from 1 species